rnacentral:tRNA from 1 species
GUGGCCGUAGCUCAAUGGCAGAGCCUCGGUUUGUGAUUCCGAUGGUGCCGGUUCGACUCCGGCCGGUCACC